CUGGGGUCAUGACACUUGACGUGUGAUCGAGAUGGUGAUAGGGCACAUUCCCAUCUGAGUCUUCUAUAAAUGGAUGAGGCCCAUUGCUUGGAGCUAAACCCAUCCCCUCCUGUCUUCAUGACAUCACUAUUGCAAUUUUCCAUCAAGAAUCCGUGGGUUGCUAGCAUUCACCUUUCUAUGGAGGGGUUUUCUCCUACCCUUCGGCCGUUUUCAAGGUGUCUAGAAGAAGCGCACCUAUAGAUGUUC
rnacentral:lncRNA from 1 species